rnacentral:lncRNA from 1 species
UGGAAUUCCGGUUACAGCCUUGCUGUGUGCUCAGACUGUGUUCCUCUGCUGGAGCCCAGUUCUGGCCCCAAGGACUGCUUCUGUACAAGGCUGAUGGAGGAGAAUCACAGGGAUACGGAUAUGGCCUCUGCAGACAGAGCUGGACAAGACUCAAAUAAGGUGAGGGACUGGCCGAUGCCAGCGGGAACAUAGAAAUCAGGAGCAGCUUCGUCACAGGGGAAAGGUGAGACCAAGCAUGGGAUGUGUGGGGACGUCAUGAGUCACCAGGGUGACUGGUCUGCUUAUCCAUCACUGUGUGAAUUAUGUUGAGACUGGAGAGUACCCUCGAGGCUUGGGCAAGCCAGCCUAUUCCACACCAUCACUCCCUCCACACAAAGCAGAAUUAAAGGUAAUAUCUGCGCUCCAAUCCACUUUCUGAC